GCCUACGGGGGGCAGCAGUAGGGAAUCUCCCCCAAUGGGCGAAAGCCUGAUGGAGCAACGCCGCGUGGGUGAAGAAGGUCUUCGGAUCGUAAAACCCUGUUGUUAGAGAAGAAAGUGCGUGAGAGUAACUGUUCACGUUUCGACGGUAUCUAACCAGAAAGCCACGGCUAACUACGUGCCAGCAGCCGCGGUAAUACGUAGGUGGCAAGCGUUAUCCGGAUUUAUUGGGCGUAAAGGGAACGCAGGCGGUCUUUUAAGUCUGAUGUGAAAGCCUUCGGCUUAACCGGAGUAGUGCAUUGGAAACU
rnacentral:rRNA from 1 species